rnacentral:rRNA from 1 species
UGAUCCUGGCUCAGAACGAACGCUGGCGGCAGGCCUAACACAUGCAAGUCGAGCGCACCUUCGGGUGAGCGGCGGACGGGUUAGUAACGCGUGGGAACAUACCCUUUUCUACGGAAUAGCCUCGGGAAACUGAGAGUAAUACCGUAUAAGCCCUUCGGGGGAAAGAUUUAUCGGGAAAGGAUUGGCCCGCGUUAGAUUAGAUAGUUGGUGGGGUAAUGGCCUACCAAGUCUACGAUCUAUAGCUGGUUUUAGAGGAUGAUCAGCAACACUGGGACUGAGACACGGCCCAGACUCCUACGGGAGGCAGCAGUGGGGAAUCUUAGACAAUGGGCGCAAGCCUGAUCUAGCCAUGCCGCGUGUGUGAUGAAGGUCUUAGGAUCGUAAAGCACUUUCGCCAGGGAUGAUAAUGACAGUACCUGGUAAAGAAACCCCGGCUAACUCCGUGC